CCGCUGGUCCAAACCACGCGUGUCUGGUGUGUGUGGGUUUGCCUGUGCGCAUGUCCUCCCACCGGUUAGCCACUCAGCGCAGCUCUGGACAGAGGAGAUUGGUGAUUUGGGUGGUGCUAGGUACGCCUCGGCUCCUUGCAGUGGUUGUAGGAUUGUCGCCGCCGUGAUGUUCCGGCUAUUGGUGCUGCUUCCCGCGACUGCUUCUUGGGGCGCUGCUUCCCCGUCCAUACGAUCUGCGCCACUGCUGUUCAGAUCAUCCGUCUCUCCCUUCCGUCUGCUCGAUCUGCUACUCUGCCCUGAUCUAGUUUGUAUUGUUUCAUCUGGUAUUGGAUUUGUUGUUUGCUGUCUUGGGCUGGGUUCAGUAGGGUGUUUCUCGAGCAACGAAGUCAUUGGAUUGGGCUCUGGUUUUUGUAGAGAUGCUUCUUUCGUGCUUCAAUUGUUGUGGAGGGCGCCGUGCACUACAGAGGAUGAGAGUGGCUGAUUUUUGUGGGCUGAUGCUUCCCUUCAAGUUUAACUUGCUGCUUCAAUUGCCAACUUUGACAGGAGGAGAUUGAUCGGUGCACCCACCGCAUAGAGCCGAAGGAAGUGUGUCAAUCCAGCAAUACAUGGAGCCGGCCAGCAACCAGCGACGCAGCCACCAUUGUCUUACCUGCUCUAAGCACACAGUCAAUUUUGUUUCAGAUGGAAUGCAUUCAGCAUACAUGGUGGAAGAGAGCUGCCCCCGGGCCCUCACUACUGAACAAGCACGCCCACAACAAGCACAUGGAGAUCUUCAUCACAGGGUUGUGUCAGCUUGACAAUUGUCAAAUCCCUGCUGGAAAAGUACUACAUUGAUCUCAAGCUAAUUGGCCGCCUUGAGGUUGGUAGCGAGACAGUGAUAGACAAAAGUAAAUCCAUCAAAACGUGGCUGAUGCAAUUUUUAGAGCAAAGUGGUAAUACCGACAUCGAGGGAGUUUGACUCUAGUAAUGCAUGUUAUGGUGGAACAACUUCCCUCUUGAAUUGGUGUGACUUCGGUCCAAAGUCCAUGCUGGGAUGAACGUUACGGCCUUGUAGUCUGCACAGAUAGCAUGGUUUAUGCAGAGGGACCAGCUCGGCCUGGUGGAGCUGCUGCAGUUGCUAUGCUUAUUGGUCCAAAUGCACCUAUUUCUUUCGAAAGCAAAUAUAGAGCUUUUCACAUGACUCAUGUGUACGAUCUCUACAAGCCUCAUCUUGCAAGUGAAUAUCCAGUUAGGAUUCUAUCACCUGUUUUUGUUUGUUUGUUUUAGGCAUCUAAAUAAACAAAUUUCUCAAUGAGAUACCAUUUUUUGUCUA